UACCAGCACCCCGAGUGGUCGGGACGUUUAUUGGGCCUAAAGCAUCCGUAGCCGGUUCUACAAGUCUUCCGUUAAAUCCACCUGCUUAACAGAUGGGCUGCGGAAGAUACUAUAGAGCUAGGAGGCGGGAGAGGCAAGCGGUACUCGAUGGGUAGGGGUAAAAUCCGUUGAUCCAUUGAAGACCACCAGUGGCGAAGGCGGCUUGCCAGAACGCGCUCGACGGUGAGGGAUGAAAGCUGGGGGAGCAAACAGA
rnacentral:rRNA from 1 species